rnacentral:rRNA from 1 species
UACGAAGGGGGCUAGCGUUGUUCGGAAUCACUGGGCGUAAAGGGCGCGUAGGCGGCUUUGUAAGUCGGGGGUGAAAGCCUGUGGCUCAACCACAGAAUGGCCUUCGAUACUGUUCGGCUCGAGACCGGAAGAGGUGAGUGGAACUGCGAGUGUAGAGGUGAAAUUCGUAGAUAUUCGCAAGAACACCAGUGGCGAAGGCGGCUCACUGGCCCGAUACUGACACUGAGGUGCGAAAGCGUGGGGAGCAAACAGG